GGAGGGGAGGGGAGAAGGGAAGAGCAGGAGAGGAGAGAAGAGGAGGGGAAGAAAAGGGGGAAGGAAGAGCAAGGAGAGGGAUGAAAGGCUGAAAUAACAAAUGCAGCGGGACUGUGCGGAGAGCACACGCUCCAUCAACACUGACUAUUCGAAACGUGACCGUUUUCCAUCUGUUAUGAAUUGAAGGUAUUUUUAAAGAACAGCUCACGCGCUCUCUCUGCACACAGCCAUUUCCUCCUGGAGGACACACACAAAGCUGGCUCGGUGGCUGGUGCAGGUGGACACUGGUGGCUGUGCUCUGACCUCAGCCUAAAAGAAGCCUGCCAGUCUGAAAGUCUUCCUGCCUGGGAAGCUCACUGGCACCAAGGCCGGCAGAGACCAUCUGCCCAAGAUUCUUGUGAACACCAGUCUGAUAUUGAAACAUAGACCUCCUUGGAAGCCUAGAAGCAGAAGGCAGCAGAAGGCCUACUUGGGUGUGGAAGAUCUUGGGUGGCACUUAAUCUCCAACAAAGAUGCCUCUUCCCUGGCCGGGGGCCCCAGCACAUCUUUGAUAGAGCUGUCCUCACCUGACCACAGCCUGGACAGACCCUCCCGUACCACCUUAGUAACAACAAAAUCCUCUCUGUCACCUUUCUGGUCCAGAACCCUCACCAGAGCAUAGGUUAUUCACCUUAUGACUGUUAAAAGAAUAUUCCAGAAAAAAAAGUGCAUUUCAAUAAAAGAUUUUGAGCCCUGCCAGACCAGGAAGCACCUAAAGCAACACCACGUUUCCUGA